AGCGAACGCUGGCGGCAGGCCUAACACAUGCAAGUCGAACGGAUCCUUCGGGAUUAGUGGCGGACGGGUGAGUAACACGUGGGAACGUGCCUUUUGGUUCGGAAUAACUCAGGGAAACCUGAGCUAAUACCGAAUGUGCCCUCGGGGAAGGAUUAUCGCCAUAGAGCGGCCCGCCGUCUGAUUAGCUAGUUGGUAGGGUAAAGGGACCUACCAAGGCUACGAUCAGUAGCUGGUCUGAGAGGA
rnacentral:rRNA from 1 species